CCCAAGGCUACUUCCGCGGCCUCUGGGCUGUGAACAGAUAAGGACGCAAGUUUCCCCGACCAGGCCACUAAGUAUUGAACACCUACUUUGAGUAAUGCUCUCUCUCAGUUAAGCAGUGUGAGUGAUACCUGGAUUAAGGGAAAAAGUGAGCAGAGCCCUGAAGGAUGUCCAGAAUAACCACACUCACAAAUACACUCUCCUGGAGAAGGACCAGCAUUUGCAAAGACACCUGAAGAGUGCAGGCGGUUCUUAGGGGAAGAUGGAUGAUCCUCUGCUGGAGUGAAGGAUAUGGAGGAAAGGUUGUGUUCUCUGGAAGCAUCUGGAGUCCAAGAUAUUUAUUAGGCAUCAACACCUGUGAAAAGAAGGGACAGAAGCAGAAUUGGGCCAAGAGAAGUCAAAUUGCAAAGUAGAACUGACAAGAUCUCAGCUCAUUGAACGGGGAGCUCUGACGUCAGACUGCCCAUUAGAGUUGUCUCAAAUCAGCUUCAGGCCUUUAUCCUCCAACACCAUUCUCCCCCUCUUGCUCAGUUACUGGAUGCAGUCUUCCGGAAAAGGCAUGAUUUCAGGUUCUGACCAUCCUGCAGUCCCGGAUCUCAGAUAUCAGUUUCCUGAGACCUUUUAAGAUGAGGGCAGGACCCUAUACCGCAAGUCUCAGAGUGGAUAUGAGAAUCUAUAGGUCCAGCAAGUGCUCUCAAAGGGUUGGAAUUGUGAUUAAGGAAUGAACUGUCCCUGCCCUCAUGGAGUUUAAAGUCUGGAGAGAAAUCAGACAUUGAGCAGGCAUUUAUGUACCAGGAAGACAACACCUCCGUAAAUACUGGAUGCUGUUGUUUAAUAAGAUUACUGUUGAACACCAGGUAAGAAUGAUUAGAAGUGGCCAAAAA